GACGAACGCUGGCGGCGUGCUUAACACAUGCAAGUCGAACGGAAAGGCCCUGCUUUCGUGGGGUUCUCGAGUGGCGAACGGGUGAGUAACACGUGAGUAACCUGCCCUUGACUUUGGGAUAACUUCAGGAAACUGGGGCUAAUACCGGAUAGGAGCUCCUGCUGCAUGGUGGGGGUUGGAAAGUUUCGGCGGUUGGGGAUGGACUCGCGGGUUAACAGCUUGUUGGGGGGGUAGUGGCUUACCAAGGCUUUGACGGGUAGCCGGCCUGGGAGGGUGAACGGCGACAUUGGGACUAAGAGACGGCCCAGACGCCUACGGGAGACAGCGGUGGGAAGUAUUGCCCAAUGGGCGGAAGCCUGAUGCGGCAGCGCCGCGUGCGGGAUGACGGCCUUCGGGUUGGAAAGCGCUUUCGCCUGUGACGAAGCGUGAGUGACGGUAAUGGGUAAAGAAGCACCGGCUAACUACGUG
rnacentral:rRNA from 1 species